rnacentral:tRNA from 1 species
UCCCAUAUGGCUCAAUUGGUAGAUUAUGGUGCUUGCAACGCCAAGGUUGUGGGUUCGAUUCCCUCGGGGGAC